rnacentral:rRNA from 1 species
GCCAACGGCUACACAUAUACAAACAUCCACAAACAACUAAACAAACCAUUUGACCCACCAAGUAGAUGCGAUCGAACAGUAAAAUAACCACAAAGUACCGCAAGGGAAAAACCGCAAGCAAUAAACAGCAAAGACUAACCCUUGUACCUUUUGUAUCAUGGUUUAGCAAGCAAGCCGCGGACAAGAAGAACCAAAGUCCACCCCCCCGAAACCAGAUGAGCUACUUUCAAGCAGCCUAAUGGGCACACCCUUCUCUGUAGCAAAAGAGUGGGAAGACUUAAAAGUAGAAGUGAAACGCUUACCGAACCUGGAGAUAGCUGGCUACCCAAAAAAGAAUCUAAGUUCCACUUUAGGCCAGACCAUAAUCACUUAUUACCUAAAGAUAAUCAAUAGGGGUACAGCUCUAUUGAAACAGGAUACAACCUGAAUUUGAGAGGAACCGCACCACCAACAACCAGUGGGCCUUAAAGCAGCCACCCAACAAAAUAUCGUUAAAGAAUUAACAAAAAAAUCCUAACACCCACCCAAAACUCCAAACAAACUAAAGGUAGACUCAUACUCAUGAGUGCUAUUAUGCUAAAACUAAUAAUAAGACACCCUCUCUUAACGCACCCAUCCCCUAGAAACGGAUAAACCACUAGCCAUUAACAGACCACAACAGGUAACAAAUCAACCAAUACACACCCUUACACAAACUGUGACACCAACACAGGCGCGUUAAAAAGAAAGAUCAACCAUUAUAAAAGGAACUCGGCAAACCAAGACCCCAACUGUUUAACAAAAACAUAACCUUUAGCCAAACAAAUAUUAAAGGCAACGCCUGCCCAGUGAACAAUUAAACGGCCGCGGUACCCUAACCGUGCAAAGGUAGCGUAAUCAUUUGUCUAUUAAUUGUAGACCAGCAUGAAAGGCAAAAUGAGGGUCUAACUGUCUCUUAUAAUAAAUCAAUUAAACUGAUCUCCUAGUAAAAAAGCUAGAAUUCCCACAUAAGACCAGAAGACCCUGUGAAGCUUAAACUAAACUAUUAAACCCAAUAAUAGCUACUUUCGGUUGGGGCGACCUUGGAAAAAAAAAGAACUUCCAAACACCAUGAUUAUACCUCAUACCCAUCAGGCCUACAAGCCACUAAACGACCCAGCACAGCUGAGAACCGAACCAAGUUACUCCAGGGAUAACAGCGCCAUCUUCUUCAAGAGCCCAUAUCAAAAAGAAGGUUUACGACCUCGAUGUUGGAUCAGGACAUCCUAAUGGUGCAGCCGCUAUUAAGGGUUCGUUCGUUCAACGAUUAAUAGUCCUACGUGAUCUGAGUUCAGACCGGAGCAAUCCAGGUCGGUUUCUAUCUAUGACCCGCCCUAUCCAGUACGAAAGGACCGAUAAAGCAAAGCCAAUGCUAAAAGCACGCUUUAACAAGAGAUACUAAAAACCACUAUCAAUCACACAACACUCAACCUAGACAAGGUUAAUUAAGGACACCACCCUUA